GUCCAGCUGAUGAGUCCCAAAUAGGACGUAAUGCGCAUCCUGCAU
rnacentral:hammerhead_ribozyme from 1 species